rnacentral:lncRNA from 1 species
CAAAGGCAAGGAAACCAGACCUACACCUAAGAGCAACACCGUCCCCGCCAACCCUACUGGCUGGAAAAGAGUAGCAACUCUACAGGCGUCUUCUAGCUUUUAGUGUGUCUGAAGAUUUUUACAAUAAACUGCAAUUAAACCCUGGAUUAAAAGCAGGCAGACACGGAAUCCAUUGUUGUUGGCUGGAGCCGUUCACAAAUCAGGGGAGAAGGCCGUGUCCUAUAUGGCCAGGAGCUGUUUUUACAGGAAAAACACACCCUCACACACAGGCCCUGAGAACUUCCUCUCUGUACCUGGACAUUGUCUGGUGGAUACGGGUGCCCUGUGACUGGCCAGAUCUCUGCCAUGCUGCAGCAAGCUCAAAGCCAAACCCAGAGUCCACAGCUGCUCCCCAGCCUGCCGCCCUCAAUUUCUUCAUCAUGCUACCUCUUCUUUCUCUUCAUCCCCACACACCCUGCAUGGAUUUCUGUAAAUGUCUCUGCAUUUCUUCGGGAACAAGAAGGGUAAUGCCUUAAUCAGUCCAGUCUUCUCGGCACUGUGUGCCCAAGGGACGAAAGAUAUUCAUGACAAGUGUCCCAAUAGCCACUCACCAAGUCCUCAU